rnacentral:rRNA from 1 species
UGGGUAACCUGCCUCAAAGAGGGGAAUAGCCUCCCGAAAGGGAGGUUAAUACCGCAUAAUAUGUUUAGGUCGCAUGACUUUAACAUCAAAGGAUUUCUUUUAGAAAUUCCACUUUGAGAUGGACCCGCGGUGCAUUAGCUGGUUGGUGAGGUAACGGCUCACCAAGGCAACGAUGCGUAGCCGACCUGAGAGGGUGAUCGGCCACAUUGGAACUGAGACACGGUCCAGACUCCGUACGGGAGCAG